ACUUGGGUUUUGCCGUUGUCCUGUCCUCUGCUGCUUUCCAAACAGAAGAAGAAGAACAAGAACAAGAAGCGGAAGAAAAGCU
rnacentral:sRNA from 1 species